UACGUAGGGGGCAAGCGUUGUCCGGAAUUAUUGGGGCGUAAAGAGCGUGUAGGCGGUCCGGUAAGUCAGCUGUGAAAGUCAAGGGCUCAACCCUUGAAUGCCGGUUGAUACUGUCGGGCUAGAGUCCGGAAGAGGCGAGUGGAAUUCCCGGUGUAGCGGUGAAAUGCGCAGAUAUCAGGAGGAACACCAGCGGCGAAGGCGGCGCUCUGGGCCGGUACUGACACUGAGGAGCGAAAGCGUGGGUAGCAACAGG
rnacentral:rRNA from 1 species